rnacentral:rRNA from 1 species
GAGUUUGAUCGUGGCUCAGAACGAACGCUGGCGGCAGGCUUAACACAUGCAAGUCGAACGCGUGUAGCAAUACACGAGUGGCGCACGGGUGAGUAACGCGUGGAUAUCUGCCUUUUGGUUCGGAAUAACCCCGGGAACUGGGCUAAUACCGGAUGGUUCCUUCGGGAUAAAGAUUUAUCGCCAAAAGAUGAGUCCGCGUACGAUUAGCUAGUUGGUGAGGUAAUGGCUCACCAAGGCGACGAUCGUUAGCUGGUCUGAGAGGAUGACCAGCCUCACUGGGACUGAGACACGGCCCAGACUCCUACGGGAGGCAGCAGUGGGGAAUAUUGGACAAUGGGCGCAAGCCUGAUCCAGCCAUGCCGCGUGGGUGAUGAAGGCCCUAGGGUUGUAAAGCCUUUCAGCGGGGAAGAUAAUGACGGUACCCGCAGAAGAAGCCCCGGCUAACUUCGUGCCAGCC